UCUUAUCAAGAGUCAGGGGAGGAACUGGUCCUACGAUCCUGCAGCAACCGCUUUGUAAAAAGAAAGGUGCUAAUUCCAGCAGAUGUUUUUAUGAAUGUCUGAUAGAUGAGA
rnacentral:ncRNA from 1 species